AUGCCAGCUGCCACAUCAGUGGCAUUGUUCCUUGUUUGGCAUGAACUUUCUUUUCUCUUUUCAUUUUCUACAAACUGUCUUCUUCCUUGUUUAACUGUGGUGUUGAUACUCAUGUACUACAUGUAUUGCAUUUUGUCUUUUUCUGCUUCUUGGCAUGAGAGCAUUGUUUUUUGCACCUUGGAUCUAUUUCUCCAAAGAUUCUUUCAAGACUUCUCUACUACUGAACUCCAAAACUGUUUGAUUUUUACUGAAGAGCCACUUUAUACACCAGAUUCACAAGAGGAGCCUUUUGGUUUGGGGCAAAGGAAGCACAGCCUCCAGGUUCUGUUACAGGCUCUUCAGUCAAGCACUAUCCUGGCGCUCGGCGACACAGAGCACAACAUGAUGUUGAUUGAUGAGCGUGUCGGUAACAGGGAAUGCUGGCAGACUUCUGCUGUCACUGUCAGAGCUCUGAGAGACUGUUGUAUUUAUGUCAAACGAAGUGUUUGCUUGAACCCAGCAUCUCGCUUUCUAGUGUUUUUGCCUCGGUGUUUAACACUUCUUGGAGUUAUGUUCCCUGCUGAAAAUCGUGGAAAGUACCUCCUUAACACAGACAGGGAAGAUAAACUACAUUUGCACUAAUCCUAAGUACAUUAUUGGAGUUAUUCCUAUCAUAUGUAAGUACUAAUGAGAGUUCAGGCAAUGUAACUAUAAAGAAAAAAAACAAACAUGAUUUUUACAAACAUGAUUUUUAGCAUGCAUUUUGAAGAAAGAGUGUCUUGUAAAAGAUUUAUACAAAACCUCAAACUAUGAUUAAGUCACCAAGAAGUUACACACUGGACAUAGGGAGGAUGAAACUUGAUAUUGCUGAUAUUGCAAAGGUAAAAGAUGCUUGGAAAUAAUAUUUUGAAGAGUAUUCUCUCCUUUUUGUUUUUUUUUUUUUUUUGAUGCAUCAUAAAGGAACAAAUAGAUGAUUUUAAAAUACACAUUCUUAAAUGGCCUUCAAAUAACUUUCAGUAUUUGAAAAUAACCCAACCGAUCCAAGUUCAUUUGGAUCCAGAGAAAUGGGAGAUUUUCCCCCUUUUUUCCUGGCCCUGGUUCUCUCACUGUGACAUGCCUGAAACGGGUUAAUUGUCCCUCCGUCCCACAUAAUGAAGUGGAGGGCACACAGUAUUUCUACUUUUGGAAAGAUGGAGGAAAACAAAAAGCAAAACAUUUCUAAAUCCAAAUUUAUUUAAAGUAGUUUGCACAAGUGGAAAUCCUGGCAGCAUUACUAAUAGAAAGAAAAGGAUCAGCUAACAUCAAAUACAGGCGAUGUACAAUUAAGCUAGUGUUUCUGAAAACAAACAAAAAAAAAGGCAACAUUAUUUUAGGAGCAUUUUCUGCCAGCUGCUGGUUGCACACAGCAGAGUUGGUCACGUAGCUCAGCCUCCUUUCCCGCCAGACCUGUCCCCCCGUGUCUCUGACCCGCACACUCUUUCAAACAGGGCUUGAAAUAAAAACUAGAUGCAAAGAACUUCUGUCUGUAAG
rnacentral:lncRNA from 1 species